ensembl:lncRNA
GGGAGGCCCAAGCAGCGAGCACAUGCCAUAACCUGCUGGAGGGGCAGGUCCUGGCUCCACACUUCACACGUGAGAUAAAAUGUAAGCUCAUACCAACCUCUGAGCACAAGCAAACGGAUGCAGCGCAUCAGCCAGGUGGGUACUCCUAUACUAAUUACUGUGUUUGCGUAUCAGCUUAUGUUCUUUGUGUCACACUAUAAGAACUUAGGAAAUGUGUGCCACUGUGGUUGGAGGUGGUUGUCUCUCAGCGAAGAUGUGAGAACCCUAUGGGCAUGUAUGGCAAAUGCAAAAUGAAAUGGGUUAGUUCCUUUCACGUCUGAAAGUCAUCUUGCUUUGCAGUUCAAGAGACUGAGAGCUUACAUGCGGCCAGUGACUCUGUCCCAGCUAAAAUAUACUUCUCUGCUGAGAAGUGGUAACAUUUCCAGCCAUUCUAAUGUGGUUAUAAGGAUAAGUCUGGUCAUGCCCUCAUAUGUCUCUCUUUGCUUUAUCUGGUUAAGGCAGUGCCCCUUUCAGAAUGAAGGCAAGCAAUGUGACAUUUCAGGUACUACAGCAAUCUUAAUUGCAAGUCAUUCUAGUAGCGGAGGUGACUAAUGUAAUAAAUACGCACACAUGCAUCGAUACAGACAGCACUCAUUGCAAAAAUGACUGCCAGUCAUUUCUCUAACCAGAAUGUACUAUGAUGUGUACUCUGCUGUUGAAGUUUUAGUGGUGCUUCUGAAUGCCAUACAGCUGGGCCCCACUCUUAAAAAUAGCAGCGAGAUAUGAAUAAGUGCUGUUUGGUUCAGCAGGAAAGAAGAAAACAUCACCUCAGUAGGAACAGAUGAGUCUGGUUAGGUUUUAUGUCUCUUGCUGAAAAACUGCAAAGGAAUAGCUGUAUUUCACAGUGAAAAUUGCAUUUAAUUGAAAGCAAAACAUUCAAGCACCCAAAAGAGAAGUGAGAAGAAGGGAUCCCACUCACAGGGGGAUAGUGGAGCUGAGAGGCUGUCCCUCUAGUCUGGUGGCCAACGGGGCACAGUCCUGUGAGGUUCUGGGGAAGGAGUGGGCUCAAUGAGUGAAAGAUGCUAACACGACCCAGACACUCUGCAACAUUAAACACUUAAAAAGGUUUGGGGUUUUGAAUACAGAGACCUCAGCCUACUUGGUUACCAUGGCAAACAAUCACCAAUAGAAGUCUUUUAAUCUUUAAUUAAAGAUACACAAAAAAGGAGAAAAAACAGUUUAAGCACUUGAAAAAUAAGACUUUAUGCUUUAAAAGUGUCCAUUAUCCCUCUUCCCUUAGCUGUCAACAGUUUUUGUAGCAGUGCUUCCCUCCCUUUAUUUAAGGUCAUAGCAGCACUCACUGUUUUUUGGGAGACACUCAUUGAGAUAGACUGGAUCUGCUGUUAGUACUCAUUUUGGGAUUCUGCUUUGCUCAUUUGAAGACACAGGCAUGCAGGAGGGGAGAGGAAAGGAGAGCAAAGACAAAAAUUAUUACUUCCUCUUCAGGUGUUGACUUUUACUUGCAGCCUCACUGCUAGAAAAAGACAAGCACAACACAUGGACUUAUCAGCCCCUCUCUGAUCAAGGGGAUUUAUAUCAGCGUCUGUCUCAUUUAGACAUUGCUUUUGGUUGUCUCCUUGAUUGCAGUUCACAGCUGUGUUGUACAACCCGUACCCUCCUAUCUAGGAUAGUUUGAUUAAAAGGAAGGUAAAAGAAAGAAAAGGCAGAGAAGCAUGUGAAAAGACUGCAAAGCUACUGAGAGAAGGGUGGCUUCAGGACCCCAAGUCUUCCCUUCCAAGUGGGUUUCCAGGACUGCACUGAAAUUGGUGGACAUAGCGAUGACUCCCAUGUAUCUCCUCACCAGAAACUCACCAGAAGGUCUGACCAGAUCAAGUAAGUGUAGAAUCAUAGAAUCACAAAGGUUGAAAAACACCCACAGGAUCAUCCAGUCCAACCAUUCACCUGUCACCAGUGGUUCUCACUAAACCAUGUCCUUCAACACAACGUCCAAAUGUUCCUUGAAAUACCAACAGUGUCACAGCAGAGACUUAGAUCUCGAAGUUGACAACGACAGCUGUCAGCAUGUCUCCUUUCUGUCCACCUAUUCUAGGAUCAGUAUCAAAAUGGAUGUACCCCAGAGGAUGAUGUACAUGCCACCAGUCACCAGUUGGCUUUAGCUCCUGGCACAUGAGUUUUGGUCCAUUGAUUUUGGCAUUUAUCUUGUACAUCAGGCCUGAUGUCAGCACAGUCCUUGGUUAAUAUUAGGAAGACUUUCUGAUUGAACUAAUUUGGUCUUCCCAUCUUUAACUUGUGCUGACUUCUCCAAGUAAUUUUCUCCAGCAGACUGAGCUGCACUUUCUCACCUCUGUGAACUUUAGCACAUGCGUUUGCCUGAUGUGCUUGCGUAGGAUGUUCAAUGCCCUCUUCUGCUUCCCUGUCUACCCUUCUUCUUUUCCAGGAGAAUACCACAGUCACAAGAGCAGGGGUACCCUGGGAGAGGCUCUGCCAAUGGCACUUUCAUAUUCCUUAGUAGCGCAAUACUCAUUAGCACAGACUGGGGAAGCCAGGUGAAUUGUGUCCAUGAGUGUCUCUACUGGGGUCUGGAAAGAGGACACAUAAGUGGUGAGGAGUAAGAACAACCCACCUUAGUAUGCAGCACAGCACAACCUUAUGGCAUUCUCUUGGGAGAUAAGUGAUGCUGGUUCUAGUUCCCCCAGGCAGAGGAGGAAAUUAAACCCAGGACUCCCACAUCCUUUAUGAGCGAAUAAAAAGUGGCUGUCUUCCUCUCAGCUUUGUGAAUAUAAUCGUGAUAUUUUCUUCCGGGGAAUCAAUUUGGUAAGUCCACGCUGAAUUCAACAAUCAUUUUGGGACAAUGGAAAAAAAAAAGCAAACAUUUUUCAAUGAGAAGGAUGCUGGCUAAAAAAACAUUCUAUUGACUGUAGUGGCAGUACAACAACCAGACAGACCCCAUCACUCUGCCACUUUAUAUCCAGCAGCUGUAGGACAGGAAACUCUCAUACUUGCAGACAGCGGAGGAACUUACCUGGCAAUGUGAAAUCUUGCUAGGAAAAAAGGGUUGUGCGGGAGUAAUGAAAUCCUCUGGGAAUGGCAGAUGAAACCUGAACACCGGUGGGACUGCCUUGAGUUCUGACACAAUUACCACAGUGCAUAAGAAAAACCUGCAAAGAACAGGCUCACUCCGAGGGCUGAGAUGUGACCAGUGUCCCAGUUAUUAUUAGCUACUAAAGGUCUGAAAAGGUUCAAACUCCAUCUUUGUAGGAAUUCAAACAGAGGGAUGCAUGAGGCCUUGCUGACGGCUUCCAGACUGAAAAAGAAAGCGGAGGGAAAAGGGGCAUUUCUCUGACCUUCCUCGGUGAUUGCUCAGAACUGUGUCUACUGAUGGCCGUGUCCAACACCGACAAGAAGAGGCAAGAGAAGUCAAAAUCUGAGGAGUGAGAUGUUCUGCUAGCACAGAAAAGCCACCUGGAGAAACAAAAACAAAUGUCACACAGCUGCGAGUGGGAGAAAUGCUAUUGUUUUCCUGGUAGCCCGUCCUUCCAGUCUUCUGAGAGAAGCGGGUACAAAGGAGGGGGAAUUGUUACAGUUACUGUGGUAACACAACUGGAGAACCAGCCUAAGAGUGAAGAGACUCAGGACAACAGAAUGAAUCGAUCGCGUUGUACCAUGAAGCAGAUGGUCCUGAUGAAGGGGAAGGAGGAUUUGACCCUCACUGAGUGAAGGAGUUGCUGAUUUAGUCAAGUCAAGAACAGGAUGCGACGUUUUGGUCUAGUGCAUUGACAUUUGCAUCUCUGAGUGAGAAUGCUUAUUUUCAUUGGAGGAACAGCAAGACUGCCUUUUGAAACAUUUAAAGAGAGUCAGAAACUGUGUAGCUGUGAGGCCUUGAUUGGAGGGAGCAAGUCCACUGAAGGGGAGCACGCAGAGAAAAGCAGGCGUGUGAAGAGGCUGCUCGCUGGCAAAGCAGACCACAGCAUUUGCUACGGCGGUCGUAGAUCAGGCUGCUCACGGAAAGGGGCCCUUGUCUGAAGAUUCCCACUCCAGUCCCAUUGACUUUAUGGAUAGUCCUCGGGAUCUUGUCUGAGCACAUCCAAAUGUUUGUACAGCACCUGAUGCAAACAGGCCGUCGUCCUGCUUCAUUUGUCAAAUGAUAAAUAACAUAAUAAUGCUGUAAUUGGAGUCAUUCAUACAGACAGUAAUCAUCUGGUGAUUCAGUACAGCACAGACUUGUGAGGUGGAAGGCUGUGCUAAGCUUAUGCAGAGACUUCUAUCUUGCUCAUCAGUUUCUGCACGCUAAAUAUAUUCUGAAUUUACGAAUGCUGAAGUUUUAAGGUUUCAUCAUGAAGCCCUUCAGAGACACUGAGCUGCAUGUAGCACCCUCCCUUCCUUAUCUGCCUGUCCCCGGGGGCAGCUGGAGGACACAGUUGGAGAAGGGAAGCUCCCAGCCCCACGGCUACCCGGGCACCUUGGAAGAGGGCAGGCUGUACCCAGGCGAUAAACGAUUGCAAAGCAGCCCAUUAAUUCAGGAGCAAAGAUACAAAGAACAGCCCACCAGAGCUUCAAACUUCACCAUUUUGCUGUACCAAACCUCCCUUGAAAUGCUAAUUAAAACGAGCUUGGGGAGAGGAGCCUGCUAACAGGAUCACAGCCUCUCUUGCAUCGAGCAAUAGACGUGUAGUAGGCAUCCAUGUUUCCCCGUACGCUUAUUUUCCAAGCUGAGUUGACUGUAAAUGUUGCGGUAAUGUGAAACCCACAGAGGGAGCGGGAUGCAAACACAAAGCAGGAGACGCGAGGCCUAGUCACGGAGCUGCAAUAGAAAAAUACAUGGCAGCCUUCGGCAUAUAAAUAAAUAACUGCCCGAAACGAGGGCUAAUUAACUUGCAAUAAACCGACUUAACCACUUAGGGGCAGCGUUAACACGGAGUUAACAUGCAAAACAAACCUGUGUGUUCUCACCUGGUUAAUUGAAUAUGCGCCCUGAAUAUUCAUGGUGUAUCAAAUAGCGAUACGUCCACGCACUGAGUGAUGCGGUCUGUCAAAGCCGGGGACGUGAGAUAAUGGGGGUAACUCAGUCGCUGCUGCGCAGCGUUAACUUUGAUCAUUUGGCGCUUCUAAACACAUCCAUAGAUGUAGGACUUUGCUGCUUUUCCUCUGUCGGGGUCACGGAGCGUGUUCUAUACAAAGAUUAAAACCUAAAGGAAAAAAAAAAAAGACAUAAAAAAGGGCUUCACUUAAAAUAAACAGAAAGAAGAUGAAACAGAGAAAAAGCCGUCUUUGAGAAAUGCUGCUCUCGCAUGCAGGAGCUGAAAAACCCAUUUUAUCUCCAUGGCCACAUUCGGCGUCACUUUACUUUCACACAAUAUGUUUCUUCUCUACCACGCAUUCAAAAAAACCCCCGGUUCCUUGGAUUCCUCUGAAACGUUUCCUUGCAUCAUAAAGGAGCUCAGACCCACCGCGGGUGUGUUUACACUCCCGGAUCAGAUCAAGUAAAUAAAGGAAAGGGGUUUGGUAGUGCAGCUUGAGUAGCUUCAGGUAGCUCCGGCAGGUGGAAGCCAUGGGGAAAACACCAUCAUCUGCUGCCCUGCUCAGUGCUGGGGCACAGGGGCUCUGGUUCUUGCAGCGUUUAGGUGCCCAGUACAGCAGGUGCCCUCUCAACCAGCACCAGGAGCACCGGCUUGCUCAGCACAAGGAAUGCGAUCUGGACCAGGUUCAAGUGUGCCAUCACCUUUCUGUUUGAAAGCAUUUCCCCACAUGCUAUCACCACAGGCCCUUUCAGGUCUCCCUGGAGCCUUCUGUUCUCCAGGCUGAACAGCCCCAGCUCUCUCAGCCUGAUCUCAUAGGAGAGGUGUUCCACCCCUCGGAUCAUUUCUGUGGCCCUCCUCUGGACGUGCUCCAACAGGUCCACGUCUCUCCUGUACUGAGGACUCCACAUCUGGGCUCAGAACUCCAGGCGAGGCCUCAUCAGAGCAGAGCAGAGGGAUAGGAUCAUCUCCCUCACCCUGCUGACCAUGCUUCUUUGGAUGCAGCCCAGGAUACGGUUGGUUUUCCGGGCUGUGAGAGCACGCUGCUGGCUCAUGUCCAGCUUCCCAUGCAGCAGCGUGGUGUGGGGAAGGAGUGGGAUGUGCUGCACUGUGGCCAGCACUGCUCACACUGAGAGAGGGAGUCAGGCUCCAGAGCUGUUGCCCUGACAAAAAAAUUAAGCUGACUGAAAUGCACUCCUGUGAGAAAAGGAGGCAAGUGUGCUGCCAGAAUAGAAAAACAAGGAGUCUGCUUUACAGGAUCAGCCACAGACCACCCUUCUCCGCUGCUGUGAUAUUUCUUCUUUCACCUGCCUCAAGUGGAUGAAGGAAGUCAUUAUCCAGGCAGUCGCUUCCCAUAAAAUUUUCUUCAGGACAGCACAGCCCAGUGCCACGGCUCCUAGGAUCCGGGAGGAGAGUUGCAGGGCCGAAUUGUCAUGCGUUAUGCUGAAUAUUUACUCCUUAUGCAUGCUAUUUUAUUUUAAAUCUAGCGUGUAAUAUGCUUUGCAUCUAGCAUGUUGCUCUGGUGUGUUUUUCCCUUGCCCUGCCUGCCUCUUGCUGGCAGCUGCCAUCGCGAAACAAAAGGCAGCUGCCAGUUUGAGUGAACAUCUCUCUCUUUCCCCGCUUGCUCUUGGAGCCGACGCAGUGCCACUUCCCAGAUGGGGUGACAGGCACGGAU